GAUGAACGCUGGCGGCGUGCCUAAUACAUGCAAGUCGAGCGAACGGACGAGAAGCUUGCUCCUCUGAUGUUAGCGGCGGACGGGUGAGUAACACGUGGAUAACCUACCUAUAAGACUGGGAUAACUUCGGGAAACCGUAGCUAAUACCGGAUAAUAUUUUGAACCGCAUGGUUCAAAAGUGAAAGACGGUCUUGCUGUCACUUAUAGAUGGAUCCGCGCUGCAUUAGCUAGUUGGUAAGGUAACGGCUUACCAAGGCAACGAUGCAUAGCCGACCUGAGAGGGUGAUCGGCCACACUGGAACUGAGACACGGUCCAGACUCCUACGGGAGGCAGCAGUAGGGAAUCUUCCGCAAGGGGCGAAAGCCUGACGGAGCAACGCCGCGUGAGUGAUGAAGGUCUUCGGAUCGUAAAACUCUGUUAUUAGGGAAGAACAUAUGUGUAAGUAACUGUGCACAUCUUGACGGUUCCUAAUCAGAAAGCCACGGCUAACUACGUG
rnacentral:rRNA from 1 species